UCUCGCUUCGUCCACGUUUCUCUUCUUUGAUUGUGAUGGCGACUUGUACCUCUACCAAAUUUUGCCCCCCCCCCAAUCUUCCCAGGCCCCCAGCACACCACUCUCGUCCUUCAUCUCUGGAUGCUGCCUCCGAGGCUGCGGCAUCCGGAGCCCGCCGCGAAGGAACCCGGUUUUCUCAUCUCCGCGUUGGAAACACGGGUCAUAAUAGCCGCAUGCGCAGUGAUAAUUUAGCCGCUUGCGGACCGCGCCUUUUGACUGCUGUUCAGAUGAAGAUUGUAAGGAAGGAGACCAGAUGUGACGGAUGAAGGACGACGCAGCAGAGCCGGAUUACACUUGAGCUUCAUGGGAAGAAUCUGAGAAGACAGCCUGUCAGGGCCAUGUAACCAGUGAAGCGGUCUACAGUUGGGCAAGCUUAAGGACUGACUGUUCCUAAGUAGCAGAGCAGAAUUUCAGAGAAAUCUCAAGAGAAUUGAUUGUCCUGGAAGUUAGCAGAAGUUUUUGGCAGCAGAUUAAGGCCAACUUGGUCUACACAUCAAGAAACCUCAUUUUGGAAGUGAAAUACUUUGUCACUUAAUAAAGAUUUUUUGAACUUGG